AUUGAACGCUGGCGGCAUGCCUUACACAUGCAAGUCGAACGGCAGCACGGGUGCUUGCACCUGGUGGCGAGUGGCGAACGGGUGAGUAAUAUAUCGGAACGUACCUUAUUGUGGGGGAUAACGCAGCGAAAGCUGUGCUAAUACCGCAUAAUCCCUAAGGGGGAAAGCGGGGGACCGUAAGGCCUCGCGCAAUUAGAGCGGCCGAUACCUGAUUAGCUAGUUGGUGAGGUAAAGGCUCACCAAGGCAACGAUCAGUAGCUGGUCUGAGAGGACAGUCGGCCACACUGGGACUGAGACACGGCCCAGACUCCUACGGGAGGCAGAAGUGGGGAAUUUUGGACAAUGGGGGCAACCCUGAUCCAGCAAUGCCGCGUGAGUGAAGAAGGCCUUCGGGUUGUAAAGCUCUUUUGUCAGGGAAGAAACAGCAGCUCUAACACAGUUUGCGAAUGACGGUACCUGAAGAAUAAGCACCGGCUAAUACCCGUGCCAGCCGCCGCCGUAA
rnacentral:rRNA from 1 species